AUUGAACGCUGGCGGCAGGCCUAACACAUGCAAGUCGAACGAGUGGCGGACGGGUGAGUAAUGUCUGGGAAACUGCCCGAUGGGGGGGGAUAACUACUGGAAACGGUAGCUAAUACCGCAUACCAUCGGAUUUGCACGGAUGGGAUUAGCUAGUGGGGGGGGUAACGGCUCACCUAGGCGACGAUCCCUAGCGGGCCUGAGAGGAUGACCAGCCACACGGGAACUGAGAAACGGUCCAGAUUCCUACGGGAGGAAGCAGUGGGAAAUAUUGCACAAGGGGCGAAAGCCGGACGAAGCCAUGCCGGGUGUAUGAAGAAGGCCUUCGGGUUGUAAAGUACUUUCAGCGAGGAGGCGUUACCUGCCGAAGAAGCACCGGCUAACUCCGUGCCAGCAGCCGCGGUAAUUC
rnacentral:rRNA from 1 species